AACAGCAGCAGUCUGCCAGCUUGUGUGUGUUGUCUGGGGAGUGUGUGAGCACGAGGGAGAGAGCAGCAUGGUGGUGUGCGGGGCAACAGCUGCCACCUCGAAACUAAUUCCUCUCUUGUAAUUUUUCGAAAGAUACAAUAUCUCUGCAGUUGAUAUACACAUGUAUCUGAGCAGUCGGGAGCGAUCGCUAUGAAAAUACAUAAGCUUGGUAUCCCAUCUUGCCUGCCUCUUAACUAAUCCCCGAAGUCGUAUUUUUGUGGCAACGUCCAACACUUCCCGCCCUACUGGUCACUAUUCUCCUUACCGCUGCUGUAAUGAGUCCGUUCGAAGCUACACGCUCGCUGGCAGACGGACCUCUUCAGGGUAAGCCGGUUGAAGAAAACAUAAGUAAUUUUGUGAGAAAACAAACAACGUGGACCAGUCGCUGCCAAACCCCCAUUACAUGCUGUUUUCGAGGCGAUCACGAAGCCCAAGAACAUGCACCUCCAAACAUGUGUUAUGGACGUAUUGAUAACACCGAUGAGCCCAAACGAAAAAAUAUUCUAAACAAAAUGUUGUGAAAAGUGCGUAUUUGGGUCGCCGCGUGUGACAAACUGUCAGUCCAAUAUUCCAAUAAGCUCGAGCCGCUCUCCACCCUCCACCCAGUCACAACUACACGCACCCGACGAGCAAACACUCACAAAAAUAGUGAUCGGGUUUCGGGUUCUGUUUUUGUUCUACUUCACUGCCACUGCCCCUCAGAACGCAUGUUUACCCACUAAUCAACUGCACACACACACGCUACACGCAUGUGUAGGUAUUACAAACGAUUGGCGCCAAGUCAUUAGUACCACUUGGUACACUUGAAGCCAAAUACCUCCUAAAUCGAAUAUGUAGAUACUUUUCGAAGACAGUAAUUAUUUUUCUGGUCUGGAACUAGACAGUGGAGAAGUCAGACGACUCCCGCUCCAUUCGAACCCCAAGAAGCCGCUGCCAAGAGCUCCCCACCGCUGCUGUAUUUCCACACACCCAAAAAUAACGUUACGUCGGUGUAAAAAAUGUGCCCCAGUCGGUCUAUUGUAUAAUACUGUUGAUCAAAUGAAGCGCCGUUGGACUUGGACCCAGAGCUGUUACAACAACAAAGGCCUCAAUCGGGCCAAAUUAAAAUGCGGAUUAUCUCGAUCGGUGCGUCCUAUCUUCCCCGAUUUCUUUCAUUUUAAUUGGAUUUCGUAUUUAUCCAAGAUCAAUGCCUCCGUGCGCAGUUUGAGGAGCACUGGACCGUGCAUACGUGCAGCGUGGAGCUCAAGCUCUCUCGCGCCACUACAGUUGUAACUGGGAGCACUGCACUCUGGGGAGGAAAACUUUUCAAACCAAAAGAAAACAAACAUCUAUGGAGGCCGCCACCUUCCGAGGGCUGUUUAUGCGCCAGUGAAAUACUCGAACCUUGCGAAUACACAGAUACUUUUUCGCUCAUAGAUAGAACCGAACCCCUUUGCCUUGGUGGGGGGUCAGGCACCAGGGUCUGGCUUAUUCAGAUCGUGAAUCAGGAACUAGAAUAGCUGCAUGAACGACACUCGCCUUGGGGUGGAAGUGUUCCAGAACGUUCGGUUGCAUCGCACAGGCUGACUGCUAAGCAGUCACGUAACUACCAGUAUGCUCUCUUAACAAAACAACUGCAAAUAUAAUGCACUCCUAUGUUCAUAUGCAUCCACCUCUAUACAUAUGAACCAGAUCAUCGGGGUCUUGGCCCCAUGCAAGUCUGUAUGGAUUUCUGGGGUGGUGCAUUUAACAUAUGGCUGCUAAAAAUACAGCAGCCCUGUGUAUCUCAAGACACACAUCUUAAACACAACUUGGGGUCGAAGAACUGGCCCUUUACGAGCUUACAGGAAAGUGUCGUACGACAAAUUCGUGACGUCACAGGUCAUUUAAAUUUCAGACACAGUCCACGCAUUACAUGAAUUUGGGCGCACGACAGUGGUUGGUUGCCAAAAAAAGGUAAAAUGGUACAAAGCUAAGCCAGAGUUAAAUGAAGCCAACAUUACUUCGUAGAUAAUAUUAAUAAAAUGCCCUAAUAAAAUGAAUUUCUGCGGUAGUCUUAGGAAAACAGUCCACCUUAGCGACUAUCUACUGUCUCAGUUCUAAGCGCCCUCCAGAAUUCCAGUCCAGCUUCUGUUUUUUUGUGAUGUUUGUGCUGGACUCUAAUCAGAAUGCGAAGCCCUUUGUUUACACACCCACGUGGGCAAGGUGCUAUAAAUAAGAUCGAAUAUAUGGAGGUAUGUUUACAAAGCUUGGACCCUAGGCGGGAAAGCCUUGCCCCGCCGAUUACCUUUCGGAUUUUGAUUUCGGAUCUGCGUGUCUAGUUUUCUGCUUCAACUGCUCUUGUCACACUUUUCAAGGCCCCUGUUCCACGCAGUUUUAAUGCCAUUCGAGAUACAUCCGCAUCGCCAUUCGAAUGGAUCUGAAUGGCGUACGUGUUCUGCUCCAUCGCCGGCUCAGCCGGCUCAGGAAAAAAAUUAAAAACAAAAACAGAAACGCAGCAGAAGCGUGUGGGGCGUGCGAGCUGUAUUCUCUGAUGAUAUUGGGUGCUCCCAUUGAAACCCAAAGGGGUUCGAAACCAAUUGCGUUCUUUCAAAUCCAAAAUUAGGAGGUUCGAUCUUGCUGGGCCUUAUUUAUUUUCCGGAUGCGGAUUUCGGCACGUUGCCACGCCGGCGACACAGGCCUCGACUGCGGCGUCAGUGGUUGCAUGAGCUCGUUUUCCUGCCCAUCCACCAGUUUACAUAAAGUGUCGUCAAAAUUUAAUUGCGUCGUGUCCCUGUGUGUGUGCUGCUGAGUUUUCCAUUUGCCAGCACAAGGAAAACAAAAAAGGGACUACGUGCCGCUCGCAACGCUACCUUUCCCCCGCUGGGCUGUUGUGGUACAACGUAAAUAGCAUUUGUGACUCACGAAAAUAUGGAUUUAAAAGUAUGAAUCUCAUAGUAUCCUUGUGGAAUCAACCGUUGAUGAAAACUCUUCUCUAAGUGUACUAAAUUGAAUUAUAUGCUUAUCAGCGACCUGCUUAUUAGACUUGAUAAAACUCAGCAACAAACAAAAGUGAAAAUAUCAACACAUGACCGUCGUCAUCGCUGCGGGUUACAAAACCCAAGACCCAGCAGAUAAACGCGAGCCCCGACUUUAUUGUAAAGAUUAGGCCAAAAGGAAUGGAAAUGAAAUAGAAAUGAAAAUAAGUAACACAAACACAGAUUUGGACAGAAAUUAGGAUUUUUAGUUCGAAUAGGUUCGAAAUUUAUUCAAAUAAGAUGCAAAUAAGGGCGUUUAAACAAAUAAUUAGUACUUAAGAUAGGGUAGAGGCAAUCGAAUUUCUAUUGCAAACUGUAAUACCUUUUGCUUCGAAAAUCCUUUUUAUUAAAAACUAAUAAAAGUAAUUCCCACCUCAAGCUCCUAAGAGAGCUG